UUUUUUGUAGGUCACUCUAAAGUCAAUGACGGUGGCAGAGGAGUUGGUGGUGGCAGAGGCUAGGGUGCGGCGCUAAUGUGGCGAAGUGGCGGCUAGGGUUUCUGUUCCCUCUUUUUUUUUUUUUGCUAAAAAUUGUUUAGGUUUUGGGCUUGUUGGGCCAGUAGGGUUUUUUUUUGUUUAAUUUGGUCUUUUCAAUUGUAAAAUUGGGCCUGAUGGACUUUGGAUUGUUGUUACUAUUAUUUUUUUUGGCUGUUGUUUAGGGCCCGGACAAAAUUAGGCCUUUACAAGGGUCAUUGAAAUCAUUGUUAGGAUCAUGGUGGGACUGAUCUUCAUUAUCAGACCUUUCAUCACCAUCUU
rnacentral:lncRNA from 1 species